CCUCUGCCCUUCAGCCUCCUCCUCCUCCUCCUCCUCCUCCUCCUCCUCCGGUCCGGCCCGGGGGGCCGCAGGGGUACGCCCGGAUCGAUUUCCACAGGAGCGGGGAGCGGCCCGGCCGGCGGAGAGACUGCUGAUCUCUCACCGCCUCGCCCCGUGGCAGCCCCAUGCAGAUAAAGUGACCUCGCUUUAUGGAUGGUGGGGGAAUUGUUUCUCAUCUCCUUUCCACCUCUAUGUGCCUUCACCACCCCCCCACAACCAAAGCCCUUCACUCGCUCGGUUGCUGCUGCCCUUCCUAGGAGACUUCCCUCCAAAGUACAAUAGGAGGUGGGGAGGUGGAGACCUCUCCCCCUUCCCCCAACUCACACCUGAGACAGCUUGGCCCUCGGUUUCCCAGCACCUCUGCCUCUAGGGAAGUGGGGGAUUGAAGAUGGAUCACAGCCUGCCCAGCCUUGGAUCCUGGGACUACUUGGAGAAAGUGAUAUUACGCCAUUUUGACGCGUUCCCUCGCCCAUUGUUAGGUAGGGAUUGUCUCCAUCUGUUGUCAAAUUGUACUUUUCAAGCACUUAAGUACAGUGCUCUGCACGGAGUAAGCACUUAAUACAAUUGUACUAAUACCAAAUUCAGCCAUCCUGACCUUAAGUAGAGAAGAGGGCAUCUUGGGGAAAAUCCCCCUCCCUCCUCUCAGUGCCCAGAGAACAUGAACCCUACCCCCACCUGAGUGGGAAGCUGAUAUUUCACAGGUUAAACCUCUCCUCUUUCCUGGGAGAAGCAAGAGGGCCUUGACCUCCUCCAUUGCCCAACCCCAAAAAAAACCAAACCAAAAAACCAACUCAGCAGGGGCAGACUGCAAAAGGAGAUUGCAUCCCCCACUAAUAAACAGUCAACUGGUCAAACUG